UUGGGUUAUAAAAUCCUCAUCGUAGUCCUCACAACUACCAUUACAUCAUGACAUAGAACACCCCUAGGGCUACCAGGUGUCUUUACAUCCAGCUAUAGAACACCCCUAGGGCAACCAGGUGUCUUUACAUCCAGCUAUAGAACACCCCUAGGGCAACCAGGUGUCUUCUACACCCAGCAUAACAUCCAGCUAUAGAACACCCCUAGGGCAACCAGGUGUCUUCUACACCCAGCAUAACAUCCAGCUAUAGAAAACCCCUAGGGCAACCAGGUGUCUUCUACACCCAGCAUAACAUCCAGCUAUAGAACACCCCUAGGGCAACCAGGUGUCUUCUACACCCAGCAUAACAUCCAGCAAUAGAACACCCCUAGGGCAACCAGGUGUCUUUACAUCCAGCAAUAGAACACCCCUAGGGCAACCAGGUGUCUUCUACACCCAGCAUAACAUCCAGCUAUAGAACACCCCUAGGGCAACCAGGUGUGGCAGCUCCUGAUCAAGAAACUUACCAAUUGGUGCAAUGUUUGGCACAAACAGAUCACGCAGAUAGAUGUUUAUGAGCAACACAUUUUGAUUACAUAACCAAAAAAAAGAGUAUUUAUUCCAAGAACCAAACUUUCAGCACAUAAACCUAU